rnacentral:lncRNA from 1 species
AACCUUUUCUGAAAAAGUAACUUUAUUGAAACCAUGUUAUUUGAUUUUUUUUUGGUAAAAUAGAUCCUCCGGUCUUUCGAAAAAGAGGUUAAAGAAGUGAAAUGUAUAUAGUGCUCUUACUUAUUUGACAUUCGUACGUAUGAUCUAUGCCUGAUGUCACCUUAGAUAACGUGAAGAUUAGGAGCAAUUCAUUACAAAUCGAGAUGGGAUAGGCGGAGGAGCCACAUGGAGCAGUUUUUUUUUUUUGACUCCUUCCGCUACACAAAACAGUUUCAACUCCAAGACUACUCUGGCCUAGCAUCCAUUUUGUACUCAAAUGUUUGGCACAGGUGUAUAGCCAGUGCUAAAGCCUGAGCUCCAGCGAGAGCCAUACCAUACAUGCACUUGGGAUUCCUCUGGAGAGGCUAAUAAAGCGCGACUAGUCGCAUUGAACCUAGCUCACCUCGCACGUCUUUCUCCUCACGUCACUCCACCUCCUCCCAUGCCGUCCCCAACCAGUGGCGGCCACACACUGCCGCGGUGCCGCCCGCCACUCGAGCGAGCCUCCGCCGUGCUCACCCCAUGACCUCACCCACCCUAAUCCGAGGGUGCCGAUCGACGAGAGCUCCGCCAGACACCCUUGCCACUAGCCCUGCGCAACCACCGUCCCCGUCCCCGGCCCCGCCUCACGUUUCCUGCAAUUCAGCUUCACCCACGUUUCCUGCUCACGAUUUCAACGUUUUCCAGCGAUGGUGCCAUUGGACAUGUGAUGAUGAUGAUAAUCAGGCACCC